AUUCCCUCUAUGUGUUGCCUCUUUUGAUAACCACUCUCUGUUCUUAUUAGCUUAUAAGUGAUAUGGAUUCAAUUUGUAUCCGAGAUAAUAAACUUAUUUUUGCAAUGAGGAGCAAUGCUUCACGCUCUCUUCAACUCCGCCAUGGGUUGGCCCGGUAUUGCACUAUCUCCGGGAUCGGCCCACUCCCC
rnacentral:snRNA from 1 species